UGAAAUUAUAUUCAGGUUGUCAUCAUAACCCAACAAGAACUGGACCAGGGUGAGGACCUUAGACAACGAACCCAACAGCUUCUUCCUAGGCAUGCCCAUGAGGAUGGAAGCACCAGUUCUGCUACAUAGCAAAGCUGCCUACCUUCUCCUCCACAUUGCCAAAGGGAGCAGUGGCAGUGUGCACGACCCCUUGGACCCCCAUGCAGAGUUGAUUUCACAAUAAAGGUGUCAAAAAGGAGCAGGUCUCCUUGCCCGUUUCUUUUUCAGGUAUGUGGAUGUUUAGAUACAUAGAUAGCUGUUUGUGUGUAGGCCCAGGCUGCAUUUUGAUCUCUUUUCCCCCUUGGCUGCCUUUUUCACCUCUUGCUUUUCCCCCUGUGCCCCCUCUGUCCCCUCUCCCUGUGCUGGGUCCGAGCUGGCGGCCGGGCCGGGCGGAGCAGCAGUUCCAGCCCCGGGUGUCCCUGGAGCGGUGGGAGCUGCCGGUGGCCCCAGGCACUGUCCCCUGAGGAGCUGCUGCAGGACGCUGCAGUGAAGACCUAGAGGACAGCCGGAGACUGACGGGAGCCAGCAGGGAGAAGCUGAAGGCCAGCAGCAAGAGCAGGGAACGGGGACCUGCUGCUGCCACGCUGGAGAGAGCCCGGCUGUGCCAUCUGCUGUCCCUGUCCAGGAGAGCUGCUCUGCACGGGAGGAAGAGACCGAGGGAGAGGCUUUGAAGAUGGGGCAGCUGGGAUCCCUCUGCUUGCAGUUCUGUUUGGAGAUACACGGACUUGCACAUAGACAGGGAUAAUUACCUGGAUAUGUUUCAUAUGUAGGCUGUUAUUUGUAUAGGUUUAUUUCUAUGUGUAUGUU